rnacentral:sRNA from 2 species
CCUGUGAAAUGAUCAACUUUGACUCUCUUUGGGCGGCAUCCCCGGCAGUUCGAACUGUACGGAGAAUUUUCGCAAGGGUCGGAUUUCUCAGUAUAAGUUUUCACCUGUUGGCUGUAACAGCCAGCGGGUAAAUCGAGCUUGUUUUGGCACGCAUCUCCGAUAUUUGGGAUUGGCCUUUUCCUCGGAAACGAGUUGUCUGAAGCCACGCUUGGAACGAACGUAUCAUAAAAGCCACCAAACUCGGACGUGCUCAAAGCUGGACCCUGUAGAAGCUCACAAACUGGCAUGGCAAAGUAUGUACAGUUACCGUUACAGCUCGCCGGAGGGUGGCUUUUCUGGGUAUUGGUGUUGUUUGGAACUAACCCUUGCCACGUCAGUACCCAAAUCAUCCAGAAAGCUAGUAAUUUUGACGAACGAACCUUGACUGUCUCUAGCAAUACCAGGGCCUUCAUUUUGGGGGAUGUUUUCUUGACUUGCUGUAGUCCUUCCUUGGCCACUUUUAUUUUCAUCUAAACCGACCACGGCCCCUCCUGAAUCGAUACGAUCUAUCAUAUGUCCGCGGAAUGGGGUUCGAGGCGGAUCGGGGCUGUCACCACCGCCUGGAAGGGACGCAACUUGGAGGCUACCUUCGGAAUCCUGAUUUAGCUGGCGGAGUGGUUUGGUGAAGAACUUGUUGAUGACAUCGCCGCCUUCUGGAUUAAUAUCCGAAUAACUUGCCUCUCUCUCGAGGUAGCUAGCGACCAAGUCCGCUAUGCCCUUCGAUUGUCGUGAGUGUAAUUCGAUCGUUUGUAACAAUCGCGAGAACUCGUCUGUUUCGGUCGUGCUCGGCCUGUGAGUUAAGCCAAACCCAACAGUCAUGGGAUAAGAUUGGUUUUGACCUGGCACCAAACUGUUGGAAUAAUGCCGCUGAUUUGCUUGAGCUCUUGUACACUCUUUCUGGGAUGGAUAAGUCGCAUAAAGGCAUGAAUCUGUGUGACUGAUCGUGUCCGAGGCAAAUGGGUUGUGCGGGUUCCUAAUCACCCAAGGCUCCUUUUCAGGGAAAGCUGCAGGUGCAGCCAACGUUUUCCCCAACCAAAGAGGAGACUUUGUAAAGUUGAAUGGGGCACUCAUAGUGUCGGUAAACGUGGAUUCCCUGGCAUUCGGCGUAAUCAUCUGAGGAAUAUUGGCGGACUGUUCGAGAAGGCUUCCCUCAGAAGGGUAUGGUUUGAUAGAGAGACAGGCUGCAUUUUGCUCACCACUACUGGCGGAACUGCUUGAAUGGCAGAGUUCACGUCUCCUGCCAAAAGGAUCUCGACCAAGUAGUUGUCUUGCAGAGUUACGAGCCUUGAACCGCAAUUCGGAGUGCCUUAUGGGCUUUGGAAAGUUAUGACGACUAUAAUACCGUUGAAGUGGAUGAGAGGGCCGGCCUGACCUGCGCCGGACUGCUGCGCCAUGAUGCGAACAUUCCCGGGUUUGCGUAACGGGUGCGUUGACAUCUAUAGACUCAGGAGCGGCAGGCAAUUGAGGAGACAUCGUAAAUGAUACGAUUUCAACUCGAAUGACAAGUGAGUUUUCUUUGAUUUGCACCAGUAAGAUGGAGAACGUAGUGAUUAACCACGAUUCCAAUCGGCUGGGAAACUUAUUUUAACCGACACAGUACAUAAAACUAGAGAAGACAAAACAAGAUAGACGGUGCAGAAGAAUACACGGAAGAAUAUUGAGAUAAAAUAUAUGAUCUCCGUCAAUGAUGGCAGUAUCAAGACAUGGGCACAUAGCACGAAGAUGAAUAACUCUGGAGAGUUGGAGGAAGAGGAGAAAAGACAAGACAAAACAAGACAAAACAAAACAAAACAACAAUAAUAACAAUAGCAGCAGCAGCAAACACCCCGCCAUACCAAGGAAGGAGAUCAGGAGGAAGCCUUCCUCUCCAGGGCAAGGCCCUUCGACUUGCGACAUUCCCCCAAGGAAGGAGGAAUACUGAGCACUAGUAUCCAUGAGAGCCGGUCGAGCGUUGUAGCCUUGAAACAGAUGUUAUAGCAGCCGGAAGCCACCAUUCCUUAAUGUGUGCUCCAUAACGCAAACUGUCUACUAUGCACGCGAUAGGAGAGCGCUAGGAGAGCCGUUCCUGUAAAUAGGGAGCGGAUGGCCAAAGCGGGUGGAUGAAGACCCAGGAUCGGCCUGAACUUAGCGUAGAACAUGCUUUCAAAGGAGCAACCCCCUUGAGAAACAGAAGCUGAAUCUUGGAGACACUAAAUAGGAAGAAUCGAAUUGCGAUCCAUCAUCACUCAAACCGAUAUAGUUAAUCAGAUCGUUGAAGCUGUUAGGUGACGUCUCAAGCUCUCGAUCGUUCUAAAUCACAUGACAACGGCCAAUUGGAACUGUGAACAUCUGUGCUUAUACGCUAGUCCAUAAUAGGAAGUCGGGCAUAGAACCACCAAAAACUUCUCGAUGUCAAGAAACUUCUCCCCAACUCAACAUCACACGUUCCAGAGUCUCCUCCUCCCCACUCACGCGCAUAUCACUUAUUUCCAUUAACAGCCAUGUCUCGCGAAGCCUACAAAGUUCCCACAGGCCAAACUGGGUAUACUGGCGCAACCGGUAUCGUCGAAGGAACCACCAGCGAUGCGGUUUCCGUAACCUAUGUUUGUGGUGAUUGCAACUCCCGCGUCUCCAUGAAGCGUGGGGAUCAGAUCCGCUGCAAGGAAUGUGGGCACCGUGUGCUGUAUAAGGAGAGGACUAAGAGAAUGGUGCAGUUUCAAGCCCGAUGACACCUACCCACGUUCCCUUACCGGCGUUUCCACAGUACCAUAGGCGAUCAUGAGAAUCAGGUCAUUGCAGGAGAGGGUGUGCUUUUAACAUUUUUUUACGCUGUUUGCUUGCAACAGCUUCGUCAUGGCGCUAAGGAGUGGAUGUUUGAUUUUGAUUUUUAUGACCAAAAGAAAAAGCUUUGUCGCCAGAUGGGAGGCGGGAAUUCUCGGAUAGUAAUCAUGAUAAAAAUUUCUUGCGUCGUUUAUUGUCGCAUCGCCAGUUGAAAUCAUACCCGAGCGCAGCGUUGUUGUCAUCCUUCAAGGGACUCAUCCGUUAAGUUUCCCCGAAGGAGAAAAAAAAGGAUAUAAAUAUCAAUAAAUACAACGUGGUCCAUUCGAGACCCGAAAAGAUAUGACCAAAAAUUUUUUUUUCCCAAUUUCCUCCUUAUUCCAGUUACAACGAGUUUGAUACCUCUAUGAAUUUUUCCAAGCUGCUCAGCGCCCUCCCACUUUCGAUCGCCCACCGCGCUCGCCGAAUACCCUCCUUCCAGCGUCCACCGCCUGGACCAACCUCUUUUAUAACUUCCCCAUUGUCACCAGGACCCAUAUUGCUUGUAUCAGCGUCGCAGAUGCCAGAUAUAACCAAGAGAGCCGCGACGUUCAUGAGCACGAACUCCAAGAUGGGAUGGUCGCGAGGCAUCUCGUUGCGGAGCAUACUCAUGAGUAUCAACGCGUUUUCGCUCGGCAUCUUGCCUCCACCAACUUCUGAAAGUGGGCGCGUAGAGAACCCAAAAUCCGAAGGCUGAAGCUGGAAGUGUUCGAUUUUUACCAACGUCUUGGACGGCGCGUCCUCAUCCAAAGCCUCGUCAUCUUCGGGAUUGCUAUCCGAGCCGCCUUGAUAUUCAGGAUUGAGAUAUUCAGAGAGUUUCCAACAGUUGGUUUUUCCAGCACAGCUAAUUUCAUCCAAAUCUUCUUCGCCGCAUACUACCAGCGCCCUUUUAACCCCGCUAAGCUUCAGAACGUUUGCGAAUAUUGGGCCUAGGGAUUUGUAUGCUACGCCAACCAAUCGAGCUUCAAUACCCCAAUCAAUUGGGUUUGCCAGUGGUCCAAGGA